rnacentral:rRNA from 2 species
CAGCCGCCGCGGUAAAACCAGCACCUCAAGUGGUCAGGAUGAUUAUUGGGCCUAAAGCAUCCGUAGCCGGCUCUGUAAGUUUUCGGUUAAAUCUGUACGCUUAACGUACAGGCUGCCGGGAAUACUGCAAAGCUAGGGAGUGGGAGAAGUAGACGGUACUCGGUAGGAAGGGGUAAAAUCCUUUGAUCUAUUGAUGACCACCUGUGGCGAAGGCGGUCUACCAGAACACGUCCGACGGUGAGGGAUGAAAGCUGGGGGAGCAAACCGGAUUAGAUACCCGGGUAGUCCCAGCUGUAAACUAUGCAAACUCAGUGAUGCAUUGGCUUGUGGCCAAUGCAGUGCUGCAGGGAAGCCGUUAAGUUUGCCGCCUGGGAAGUACGUACGCAAGUAUGAGACUUAAAGGAAUUGGCGGGGGAGCAC